rnacentral:rRNA from 1 species
GACGAACGCUGGCGGCGUGCCUAAUACAUGCAAGUCGAGCGGACCGGACCGGCGCUUGCGCGUUGUCGGUUAGCGGAGGGCGGGUGAGUCACACGUGUAUAAUGUGCUCGUAUGUGCGAGAUCUUUACGGGACACGGGCGAUAAUAGCGUAUAACAUCGAAGUGCGCGGGGGGUUUGGGUGAGAGGCGGCGUCUGGGGCUGGAUUCGCGGGGUAUCGCCGCGUUGGUGGGGUAGUGGCUGGCCACGGCUAUGACGGGUAGCCGGCCUGAGAGGGUGACCGGCCACAGUGGGCUUGGGAUGCCGCCCGGACUGCUACGGGCGGCAGCAGUGGGGAAUAUUGCACACUGGGCGGAGGCCUGAUGCAGCAACGCCGCGUGGGGGAUGUCGGCCUUCGGGUUGUAAGCCGCUUUCGCCUGUGACGAAGCGUGAGUGACGGUAAUGGGUAAAGAAGCACCGGCUAACUACGUG